CUCGGCGCGCAGCUCGGCGGGGCUCGGCCUCCUCCCGGCCGCGGCGUGCGCGGGGCCGCCCCCUCGGCUCUGCUGCGCCCAGGGAGAGCUGGUUAGACUGGUUUCACUGGAAGAAGUCACCCUCAAGUCCCGCGGACGUCAGGUGCUGGAUCCCACCCAGGAACUGCCCACGGUCACCUUUCCUUGUCCCUGUAUUUCUUUCGGGUCCUCAUUGCCAAGGGUUUAGGGCCCCCUCUGAUAGGGUCUCUAUUGUGUAUAUGGCACGUCACACCUAUUCAUUCCUGAAACAGUUAUAAUGAGGUGGACGUCGUAAGUGAGAGCCGGGGCUCCUAAGGAGGCCGAGAGCAAAUCCUGAGACUGCGGCAUGUACCCCAUGGGAGUGAAUUUAAGGGUAACCCCCAAGGUUUUGGGAAUGUGACCCCCUAUGAGAUUGGAGUGCUAGCAGAAAGAAAAUGGCCAUUGUAAGUGAGGAAAAAUUCCCCUCUACCGACCUUCUUUGGGUCUCCAGCAGGGCCUAGGCAUUAAACUGACAUAAGAUGAGACUUCAGGGGAAAAGCACUCAAGGUCUAUUAGUUUUUGGUUUUUAUGUGCACAUGAGAACCUUCACAAGAGAAUGAAGAUAAAAGAAGCGACCAGAACAGAAAGCUUUACUCCUUUUAGAUAGAGAGUCAAACCAGGCAAAGGGGUUUGGGUCAGGGGUGGUAAAUUGUGAAGAAUGACAGGGAGAUAAACAUCAGGGUCCCAAGGUUUGUUUGUACAGAUUUCUCAGCCUGAUUCCCCAUCUCUGGUGAUAAGAAUGUUUUUCUUCCUCCUCUUAGAGGGUAGGCACCUUUCACAUGGGAGUUUUAUCUCCUGUCGGGAAGAAUUGAGGAAGGCCAGAGUGGCCCUCUUGCACCUGCUGUUUCUCAGGCUCCUUUAACUUAAUCAAUAUGCCAAAGCAGUGUAUUUUGGGGUGACACACUCUGAACUCCUUCAUUUCCUCUGUCUGAAAGUUCAUUAGAAGUUUUACAUGAAAGCUGAAUUGGUGGGUGUGGAGAAAAAAAAAAAAAGAAGUUAGCAGCCAAGUGGCAAGGGAUCUAUCUGCAAAGGGAAAGAAUAGGUUAGGAUAAGAAUACAUAGGAAAUAAGUCGAAGCACAUUUCCUCAUAUCCUGUUAAAUCAGCCUCCUCUCCCUAGAAAUAGGUCAGCCCAACAGAAUGGCUGAACCUCAUUUAUCUGAUGGAGAGUGUUUAUCUGGUCUUUCAAAAGGUGCAGGUUAAACACUAUUUGUUUCAAGCAAUUUACAUAGAAGUAGCAUUCUUCACCAGUGAUUGCCUGAACUCCUCCUUUGGGGCUGUCAGUGUGUCUAGGAAGAGGUAACUUUGGAGUAUAACAGAAAGCCUAAACUAUUAACUGAUGAUAGAAGGGCUUCCAAUGUGUGUGUAAUGAUACUGAAAUCCUGUUAUAUUUCUGUGGAAAGAUUUAGAACUGCCUUUUCCAACUCAAGAGUUUGAAAGCCUGGGAAAAGGGAGCCCAAUAUUGAAAAAAGAACUUAGAAUUGUGAUGCACGAGCCAGUUUUCUGUAACAUCUUGUUUAGUGUAUUCAUGUGGCACUACUUUAAGACCAAAGGACCCUAAGUUUGUAAUUGGGCUGGCAUUUAAGGUGGAGUACCAGGACAGAGAGUAUCAGGAAUCUGAGUCCGCAUCAUCCUGACCAUCUAGGUGGAACUCUUUGUAUACCUUAUCAUCACAUAAGAUAAAAAGACCAGUACCGGAAUGCCUGGGUGGCCCAACAUUUUAGCGCCGCCUUCAGCCCAGGGUGUGGUUCUGGGCUCCCAGGAUCCAGCCCCACAUCCAGCUCCCUGCAUGGAACCUGCUUUCUCCCUCUACCUGUGUCUCUGCCUCUCUCUCUCUCUCUCUCUCUGUGUGUGUGUCUCUCAUGAGUAAAUAA
rnacentral:lncRNA from 1 species